AUGAAGAAAAUUAACAUAUUUUGCAUGGUACACACCAAUGACAUUUGUCUUUGGUGUGAACAGAAUUAACAUGUUUAUCGUAGGACACAUCAAUAAUAUUGGUGUCUUUGGUGUGAACAGGAUUAACAUGUUUAUCGUGCAGCACACCAAUAUUAUGAAUUAAGCUAGAAUACUUUAAUAAGCACCAGCACACCAAUAUUAUGAAUUGAGGUAAAAUACUUUUAUAAGUACCAACUCCUCCGUGCUUUUAAGUUUCUAGCCCUUGGAUCUACUCAUUGAUUAUUAAUAACCUUUGGAACAAAUACUAUUCCACCUACCACCACCUAUCACCAUCAUCUCAAUCUCACAUCUCUCCAUUCAAUAAUUAAAAACUCAAAAGCACAACCUUUAUAGUACUUUUGAGAGUAUUCUAGCUCAACUUUAUUAUAUCAUGCCAAACCAUGAUAAACAACCCAAGACAAAUAUACUAAAAAAUUAGUUGCAAUCCUACAAUAAUCCUAUCCAAAGCUUUUCUUUUUCUAUAAGUUUUAUCACAUUUCUUUUUUUUUUUCACUAAAAAUUAGAAAGGAGUUGGCAAAAGUUAGUAUUAUUGAAGGAAGAGGUGUAGAGGUUAUAAUUCUUUUUUAAUGAUAAACUUAACAUUUUUUUAUAGAAAUUAGGAAAUACUAUAUUUGCAUAUUAAUUAAAGACGACAAUCAAAUCCCCAAACAGCGUACAAAAAACUCAACUUACCUUCGUUAUAAAAAAAAUCUAUAGGAACAGAAUCAGUGUUGUUAGGUACUACAUCAUGCUAUUUUUUUUUGAGAGAAAGAUAGCAUACUACUCGCUUCGUUUAUUUCAUUUAGAAAUAAAUUAGUGGAUCAUCAUGCUAUUUUUUUUUUAAAGAACCGUUUUUCAGGCUGAGUCAUGUACCAUACUAUUAAAAAAUGUGCGGUUAGAAUGAUAUGGACCCCCUAAGGUUGAAUAGGCAGUUGGUUGAAUAGUAUAAUCUAACGGAUAAAAAUAAUUAAAGGAUUAAUCUAACAGUAGAAAACUUGAUAGCACCAAGUAUUUGGUGUUAUCGAUAGCAUAGCACCAUCGUAGUUUAUGGAAGGAUUCUCUAAAUCUCCGGUUCACUGCAAUCAAAGCUUCAAAAAGUUGAAGGAGAGGUUGACCUCAAAUUCUCGUCUUGCCGAUUGCGGAGGACUUUCGUAGAAUUAUAAGCAAAACUAUUCUAACAUAGUUCCAUAUUACACUCCAAGUUUCCUUGUGAUCCACAUUUUUACACUUAUCUUGUCAUUUUUCUAAAAAAAAAAAAAUUUAAAAGAGGUUUUAUUAAUCCUUGGACCAUGUAGCAGUGCGCCCGUAGCAUUUUUCUUAAAACAAGGGCUCAAAUUAACCAAAGAAGGAAGCUAAUCAUGUAUAGAGCUUAUAAAAUAGAUUUAUUUUAAAAUUCAAAAUGUAUUUUUUAUAAAAUAAUGCCUAAAGAUUUCUAAUCGAGAUAUUUUGAAACUUGAAAAGUCUAUUCAUAUCUGUAGUUUUCCGAACUCCAAUUGUAUUCAAAUUCAUUUUGGUCAAAUAUAAUUAUGAAAUCCAUUAUUUAUUUGUUAUUCGUAUUCAAAUUUGUAUUCGUGUAUUAAAUAUAAUAGGAAUAUGGUAUUGUUAAAUAUCCUAGCACAUUUGAUUAUUUUCGCCCUUACUGUAAGAAAAUGUAAAUUUACACUUUACCCAUCCAAGUCAUUUUUAUCACACUAGUCCUCUCAUUAAAAUACUAAAAUCAAUGUAGAGAAAAACCCAACAGAAAAGAACAAAUGAUUUGUGCUAGAGAACAAGGAGACCUCUCAUUAAAAUACUAAAAUUAAUGUAGAGAAAAACCCAACAGAAAAGAACAAAUGAUUUGUGCUAGAGAACAAGGAGAAUUUAGUGUGUUUUGAUUUGAAAAAUCUGGGACUUGGAAUAGGAAUCAAAAUGAAUCACUCCUAUUGUGUGUCAAGAGGAGAAUUUCAAGCUGAGCUGAAAAUACGUAAGUCUCCCAUUAGUGAUGAGGUGAUACUAAUUAAGAUGUUCUGCAUGGAAAAAAGUUACAAGAAAACUUAUACUAUUUUCUCAAAAAAAAGAAAAGAAAACUUAUACUAGGGUCAGAGAAGGUGAAAAGAAGUUAUCAAAAAAAUAAAGAAUCAGAGAGAAGAGAAAAAAAGAAGAUGAUGAAGUUACACUAUUUUAAAGGAACGUUGCAUGGUUUAAAAAGAAACUUAUACUAUUUGAGAGAAAAAAAAAAAUUUUGCAUUAUUUGGGUGAAAAUUACACUAUUUCUCCUCCACAUGGAAACAAAGAGAAAGGAGGAAGAGGAAGAGAAUAAAUAGUAUAAUUUUCAUCCAAAAAGUACAACUUUCGUUUAAAGACUGUAACUUUCAUUCAGAAAAAUGUAAUUUUUCUUUAAAACAGUGUAGUGUUCAGUGCAUAUUCAUCAUUUUCUUUUUUUCUCUUUGAUUCUUUAUUUUUUUUUUGUAGAAAAAAAUAUUUUUCUUUAUAUUUUAUAUUUUAUAUUUUAAUUUUAUUUUUUUUCUUUGGAUCUGCUUUCUCCCGCGCUCACUCUGAGUUCUCCUUCUCCGACGCCGGUAUCGGUACUUCCGCCGGCGAAGACGGAGUAAGAAGACGCGGCGCUGUUUUCCUUACCGUUGUGAAGAGUUGCGGAGGCAAUGGAGGGAGGUUGAAGAGAAAAAAAAAAAAGGAACAAAAAAAAAAAGAGAGGAAAAGAACGUGGAGUUACCCUCUUUACUGUCGUAAAGAGCAGGGUCGCGACACGGCCUUGGCGAGGUUGGAGGCGAGAGACGAGGGUGCGCCGGAGAGAGGCGAGGCGUGCUGCCUCUGUCUUUUUGUCAGUUUUUUAAAAAUUUGGUCCGAAUUUAUCAAAUUCAAAAAAGCCGUCUAUUUUUACAAAAACUUAAAACUAGUAUAUUUUUUUAUACAAAUUGGCCUAUAGACUGAGAUAAAUAAAUAGUAUGGACAUAGAUACAGAUAGAGAUGUAAAUAUAGAUAAAGUAGAGAUAAUAUCUUCCUGAAAAUGUGAUGAAAAAUGUAUGAUUUUAUUUUUUUUUUAAAAUAAAUUUAACUGGAUUUUUUCUCCGAAUUGAUUGAAUUUUCUUUCGAUCUCGUGCCAAAUCAGUGCAAAGCGGUAGCAGUAGAAUUAGUAGUGUUUUAAGGUUAUAAUGCGAGUCGGUUUAGUAGUAUUUGGUAAGGUUAUUAUUGAUCGAGGCUUUAAUUAGCAGCAAUAAAUACGAAUGGGGUGGGGCCGUGGGGGCGUAUCGUAUCCUGAAUUAAUUAGUAAGUACUGUAUCUUCUCUUCUUAUUACUCUUCUCUCUCCCUUGUGAUUUUGCUCCUGCAGCUGCGCGGAAAAAAAAAAAAAAGGAAAAAAAUUAAGCCAUGUCUGCAGAGCGCUACUCACAUAGAGUGUUUGCAGACGAUGUCGACGAAACCGUCCGCAUCAAUCAGUAUCCACAACCGCCGGUUCCCUCGUGGUCUUCCAUGUUCUUCGGCUUCGCGUUGGUCAUUCGGAACAUCUUAGAGGACGAAGAACACGGGAUAAGGGGUGGCGUACCCGUAGAUCCUCCGAUCCGGUGGUAUCUGGAGAUCGGGUGCACGGAGCUGUGCCGCGAUCGCGGGGAAUUCAUCAGCAAUGAAGUGUCUAAGGAGGCCCGCAAGAUCAUGUUCGAAAUGCUCGAAGAAUGCAUGGGGGGUGCAGUUCCGUCGUUCACGCGAAGAUGCAUCGCAAACGACUUCGGCGUCCAGGCGUGCUGGAUGCUGUGCGACGCGCGCUACGCGCUCUGCAGAAAGCUCCCGGUAAUCGUGGAGCUGACGGUCUUCUCUGCCUUUCCGGUGACCUCUCGUCUUCGGUUGAUGCCUAUGGCGAUGGAGGGACUGGAGCUGUCGCAGCUGGCUGCAGCGGGAUCGGCGGAGGAUGAGAUGUGUGCGAUCUGCCUCGCCGAGCUCCACGCCGGGUCCGAGGUCACUCGCUUACCCUGCUCCCAUUAUUUCCACGGCGAGUGCGUCCUCCGGUGGCUGCGCAUCAACCGCUCCUGCCCUCUUUGCCGCUUCAUCCUGCCACAUUAAUCUUUAAAACGCGAGUAUGUCACUGGAUUUGCUUGUCCAAUAUAAUAUAAUUUAACUUUUUUUUUUUUUUUUCUGUUUUUUCUUCUUUUUUAUUUCUUGGAAGUGGAUAAUUUGACUAACGCACUGCUUAUUGCUUUAAGCAAUCUAUAUAUUCUUACUCUCUAAUUUAUUUAUUUGUUGUAAUCUUUUUUUAGGUGCUUAUGGGCUCUUUUACUAUUUAGGAAUCUCAAGCUACAUUCCAGUACAGGUUGGGAUAAAAAUACUAGUGAAUCUCAGAGUGCACGUGUACGAUGCAGAUGACUUGAAACGGUUCGUUUGAGCUUGCGUGAUCCAAAUAAAAUUUCUUAAAUUAGCUCUAACGUAGUUAAUACUGACCGUCCCUAGAGCAAGUGGCAAAUAACUCAAAAUUUGAAAUUCUAGUUGAUUUAUAUUUCUAGCUAAGUUUAUUUAUAAAUGAGAUAAAUGAAACGAAUAACGUGCUAUCUAUCUUCUCGAAAAAAAAAAAAAAACCUCUAAAGCAACUCAUUCUCAUUAAUUAAAUUAAUUAGUAAUUUUAAAGACGUUUUGAAGUGACUAAAAAAUAAGGAUAAAUUGACUAAACCAGCAAACUUCUAUCAAAAUUUUAUUUGGCACGCUGAGUGUACUCUGUCUUUCUUUCUCUUUGCUUACUUUUUUUUUUUUUUUUUAAUUUUUCCUCCUUUCUUUCAAUGAGGCAUUGUUGUGGCAUCUUUGUACCUAAAUUCAAAUUUUUAUUGUAUAAAACAGUAACAUGCUAUUGUUUAAAAAAUAUAUAUAUUUCGCACUGUUAAAGUACAAUCCACCCUCCUCCCAUUUAGGCACUCACUCAUCGGACAAAGACGGGGAAAAAAUUAAAAAAAAAAAACCCUCCUGUUCUUCUUCUUGGCCCGUAGAAUCUCUCUCUAUCUAUGGUGGUGAUGGGGUUGAUCUCGAGGGUUCUGGACGCGGCGGUGGUGGCGUUCUCGGCGGCGGUGGCUGUGGCGGCGCCGCUGAUCGACGCGCNUGAACAUUUUUUAUAUUACAAGGGGGUAAACUAUAGGUUUUUAAAUGACAGCAAGGAAAGUAAAAAAGCAGAUAUUGACAGGAGGGUUUUCUGUAAUUUAGCCCCUUUUUUUAUAAAAAAAAAUCAUUUAUUUGGUGAGAGAGAAAGUGUAGCAAAGAAUGGUUUUAAGAGCUACACAAAUCAUUAUCAUCUGGACCAUUACAAUGUAGAUUUAGGUUAAGAGCUACACAUAUCAUUAUCAUUGGACCAUUACUUUGUAGAUUUAGGAAAAUAUCCAUAUAUGGUGAAACCAAGCAUGGAAUUAAUGAAGAAAAGACCCUAUAAGAAAAUUCAAAAAUCUUGUUGGGGCAUGUAGAUGUAGAUGUAGAUAUUAUUCUUGGCUGCACAGCUCAUGAAUGGGUCCACAAACAGAGGAAGCUUCCAGGAAAAAGCACUUGCAGCAGGCUUCUGACUGACUGCCUGAGAAUGACUCCCUCACAAACCUACAUCCAUUUUUCUUUUCUUUUCUUUUCUUUUCUUUCUUUGAGAGAGAAAGAGGUAACAUGUUAUCCAUUUCGUUCAUUUCAUUUAGAAAUGAAUUUAACUGAAAAUAUAGAUAAACUAGGAUUCGAAUUUUGGAUUUCGAAUACCAGUCACUAAGCUCUUUGCCACUUGCGCUAGGGACGGUCGGUGACUUAUGCUUGAUCUUGAAAAUGACGUAAUGAUUUUUUGUAACUUAGUUUGUCAUUCUCUUGAUUUCCUUUGAACCGAUCUUGAUCUGGUUAUAUUGGCUAAACAAAUAGGAUAGAUUUAAAAUAAAACAAAAAUAAAAUAAGCACUGCUGCAGCAGCUGGAGAAGGGUUACAUACGUUGCUCAAAUUGAACCACUCCAACAUGUGAGGAAUAAAGUGCUUUUUAAGGUUCCUUUUUUUUUUUUUUUUUUUUGAUAACUGGUGCAUAGUUUUCUAUAUCUGAUAUAACUAGUAUCGGUUUAAUCUCAUAGACUAUUGCAGUGGAUUAUGUCAAUGCAGGAAUAUAGGAUAUAUGUCGUAAAAACCAUUCUGCAAUAUUAGCAAGUGAUAGAAAGGGAUAGUGAAUACAUUUUUACCUCUCAUAAGUUCAUCUGAUGAAAUUCAGUUACCUUGGGUUGUUCAUAAGAGUCGCAUAACCAACAAAACGAUCACCGUGCUAUAAAUUGAUUGUUGACAUUGGUGGCAGAAUUUAUGAAAGCGAAUUCGGAGCACUAGAAUCCUGCUUUUGUGUGCUUUAACCUUCUCGUUCUAAAUUAGAGAUAUCUCCCUAGACCUCUGUAGAAUUAUCUUUUUGCAAAAUCCGAAUGUCAUAUAUUGCCUUAGAAAAUUUAAUUCCUUUCUACUUAGAAUAGUGGUCCUCGUUAAACAACUUUUCUAAUGCAUAACCAAUCUCCUGAAUUCGAUGUUUCUUCAACUUAGAUAAGCGUAACUUUUUUCUGUAGAAAUUGCAUACAUACCCAAAUCAGUUUUUCUCUUUUUUUUAGGGCUACAUAUAUUGAUAGAUGAUAUUGGUGGGAAAUAUACAUGUAAUAGGAACAUUUAAGUUUUAACUUCCACUUUGUUUCCUUACUGUUAUGUGUUUCAUUUUCAGGCUGCCAUUCUUGCUGAACUUCUCGGUUCGGGAAGAGCUUCUGAUAAGCUGCUGCAAAUGUAUGUCCCUUUCAUGGUCUUUGCCCUCUGCGCAAUUUUGCGCGGACUCCUCCCUCGCCCUGGACGAGCUGUUGCUGCUGCAUCACAUGCUCCUUCUGCACGGAAAAAGAGGGCCUAGGAGAAAAGUGCUUUCCGCCGAAGCACUCUUUGCUAGAUAUAUUUUCAGGUGCAGCAGUAGUUUAAUGUUGCUGACAAUUUCAAUAUGCCAGGUUUUCUUUUCGGUUUUUAUUUAUUUGAGAGAAUCAAAGAUAAUUUUGACCACUUCCAACUUAGAUUUGCUUUGCAAUUUCGUCAUCUAGUGCUAAAUUAGAACCAAUUGAGUGCUUGAUUUGGAUUAAUUAUGACAUUUAUGAUGCUAUUUUUGAGAAAUCCAUUGUUCUAACAUCUUUGAAGCUCUUUAUGAUGUUUGGAUUCGAAACCUUAGCAUGAGUCAUGUACUUCAAUAUACAACCAGAAUCUAAAUGGAUUUUGCAAGAUCCUACUGAAACUUCAAAAUAAAGAGUGAGACGGUUGGGACCAAUUUGAUCCUAUUUGUAAUGAUCUAGGAUGAACUGUAGCUUAACUAUAUUGAAGUUGUUAUCUGUAUGGGCCAGAUCUAGGGCGGUGUCUUGGAUUGACGGUGUGACAAAACUUAAACCUGCCGCCGCACCUCAUUUAGACCGUCCCAUAUCCGCCCUAUUCAGGGCUUGACACAACGGAGCAGGUUUUCUGCUAAUCCGUCGUGUUGCCAUCCCUAUUCAGAAACCUCCAAAACCUUACAUAACAGAACAGGUUUCCUGCUCAUUCAUCCUGCUGCCAUCCCUGUUCAGGAACCUCCUAAACUUCUUUUGGGUGUAGGGACCUUAAAAAAUCAGAACUCGUGUGCCGGGAAAAGGUUGAUUGCUCCACAAAGAUCUACAAUGGUGUCUUGUUGUUAACCACUGGCAUAAAAAUCUAUACAUAGCGGUGACUAUGGUAUGUAAUUUGUCUACAAAUCUCCCUGAUCUUUCUGAAAUCUUUCGCUUACAAUUAAAGCAAGAAAUUAAGGACCAAAUCCUAAUUUCUCAAAAGAUUAUGAUUUUCUCUUUCAGAAUGGGAAUCAAUUUUGUUAAACCUUCAAUCAUGUCGCUUGACCGCAACCCGCGAAUUAAUUUUGAGUGCAAUCAAAUUGUCAACAUGGUGGUUCCUACACUAGCUAAAAUCUCUUAUUAGAGUAGUUGGCCUCACAUCCAACUAGUUUAUGUCUCCAUCUAACAACCACCCUAAAUUGGAGAUUAGAGAUAAUACUUAUGGUUGGUAGACCAUUUAACUUAAUUAGUUGCCCUCCACUACAUGACCUGUACUUCCUUGUAUCAUAUCAUCACUAAUUUGAUUGGAGAAUUCAUUAAGCAAAUGAAUAGUUAUCCUAUUGUUCUUCGUAUUCCUAUUCUAUGAUUAGGUGCCACCCUAAGUUACAAAUGGACCGAAAUGGACCACAUAUGAUAAGCUCUGGCAAGCAUAGCUCUCAUAUGAGAGCAAUAGGCACCAAAUAGCCUAUGCUUUUUCAAAAAGGAAACCAACAAAGUUAAUAAGCGACCGACCGUACCAAGCACAGUCAAUUAAAACCUAGUUCUUUAUAUUUCUAGCUGAGUUAUUUAUUAAAAAAGAGGAAUGAAGUAGAUAACUUGUUAUCUUUCUCUCUUUUUCGCUUUCAAGAGAACGAGAAAAAAAAAGAGCAAAGCUAAUAAGUGGGUCUUCUUUUAACAACUAUCGGCUUAACCGACUAAUUGUUACUAGGGUUACCAUUAACUCAUGAGGUUGAGAGUUUAAUCUUGUGCUUGUACUUUUACUAAUCGGGUUCGUGCUUCCGAUUUAUUGGAUCAUAAAAUAAUAAUAAUACCUAUAUUGGAAGGUUUCAGUGUUGGGGCCUAGAGGCUAACUCAUUGAAAAAACAAAGAAGAAGAGUGGAUCUCCUUUCAGGAUUUGAUGACUAAUAUCAUUUUUCCUUGUUCUUUAUCUUGUGCCUAGGGUUUUUAGGUUUCUAUAUAUGGUUUGCUUCAUGAUCACUCCCUUAUUUCAACAACCAUUACCAUAAUAAUAAGUCAUUACUUGACAGGUACUUUAUUGGACCCACUAGAAGAUAAGGCCAUAAUUUGUAUCAAACUUUUUUUCCUUGGGAGAGAUAGAGGGCUCCAUUUAUGAAAAAAAUAAGACUAAAUUAUAGAAAAUUUUUCUACAAAUAUUCUCUUUUUUUUUUUUUUUUAAAUCUACAUUUUGUCCUCUUAAAAUUUUAGAAAUAUUUUCANACCAAGCACAGUCAAUUAAAACCUAGUUCUUUAUAUUUCUAGCUGAGUUAUUUAUUAAAAAAGAGGAAUGAAGUAGAUAACUUGUUAUCUUUCUCUCUUUUUCGCUUUCAAGAGAACGAAAAAAAAAAAGAGCAAAGCUAAUAAGUGGGUCUUCUUUUAACUACUAUCGGCUUAACCGACUAAUUGUUACUAGGGUUACCAUUAACUCAGGAGGUUGAGAGUUUAAUCUUGUGCUUGUACUUUUACUAAUCGGGUUCGUGCUUCCGAUUUAUUGGAUCAUAAAAUAAUAAUAAUACCUAUAUUGGAAGGUUUCAGUGUUGGGGCCUAGAGGCUAACUCAUUAAAAAAACAAAGAAGAAGAGUGGAUCUCCUUUCAGGAUUUGAUGACUAAUAUCAUUUUUCCUUGUUCUUUAUCUUGUGCCUAGGGUUUUUAGGUUUCUAUAUGUGGUUUGCUUCAUGAUCACUCCCUUAUUUCAACAACCAUACAAAGAAGAAUAAGUCAUUACUUGACAGGUACUUUAUUGGACCCACUAGAAGAAAAGGCCAUAAUUUGUAUCAAACUUUUUUUGGGGGGGGAUAAAUAGAGGCUGCAUUUAUGAAAAAAAUAAGACUAAAUUAUAGAAAAUCUUUCUAUAAAUCCUCUCUUUUUUAUUUUUCUUUUUGACUUUUAAAAUCUACAUUUUGUCCUCUUAAAAUUUUAGAAAUAUUUUCGGACAGAAAUGACGCUAAUGGAGAGGGUAAAAUGACCAAAUUACUCUUACUUCUUCUGUAAGAAAAAAUAUAAAAUUGUAAUAUUUUUCUGUCAUGUUGAAAGACAUUUUCGGUAUAAAUUAUAAGAAAUAAACGGAGUAGUGAUGAAAUUCUAAAGAAAGUGGAGGGGAAGCUAAAUGCAAUAACUUGAAAUACAUAGAAAGUAAAAUAUAAAUUUUUGAAAGUUAGAACGAGAAGUGAAAAAAUAAAUAUUUAUAAUUUUUUUUUUUACAAUUUAGCCAAAAAUAAAUAAACAAAGAGCAAGUAAAGUAACAUGACAAAAAAAGAAAAAAAAAAAGAAGAGGAAAAAACAAGGGAAAACUUUAAAAACCCUCCCUGUGGUUUCGCACUUUUUCACUUUAAUAUCCCAUGGUUUAAAGUGUAUCAAGUUAGUACUCUGUGAUUUUAUUUUUGUAUCAAGUUAGUACCCUGUGGUCACAGGGUACUAAAGUGAUAAAGUGCGAAACCACAAGGUACUAAAGUGAUAAAGUACGAAACCACAUGGUACUAACUUGAUACAUUUUAAACCAUAUGGUAUUAAAGUGAAAAAGUGUAAAAUCACAAGGUACUAACUUGAUACAUUUUAAACCACAGAAUACUAAAGUGAGAAAAAAUAAAACCACAACGGAGUAUUUGAAGUUUUCCAAAAAAACAAUAAAAGCCUAGUCUAAGGACAAUAAAAAACAGGAAAGGACAAUAAUUUGUACCAGCCAGGUGUAGUUUGUCCAUUGUCAAGCAAUUUUCAUUAUCAUUACCAUCUUUUCUUUUUUUCCAACCAUUGAUUGACUAUACUAUACUCCAUUUUUGUUGGGUUCUUCCACCUUGCACAUCUACAUAACCUCUACAUGAGCUAUGGAUGUAGACAAUUAAUGGCUAUUUAAUUACUUGGUUGGUGAUUAAUUAGCUCCAAGGGGACAUAACAACCAUUUCAAAAUUAAAGAAAAUCUCACAAGAAACACAAGAACAUAAAUUAAGCAUUAUACAUUCAUAAUAUUCUAAUUGCAUCUUAGACUUGUUUUUUUGUAUCUGAUGAGCGAUCGAACACUUGUUAAUUAGCGGGGAUUUGGACCCCGAUCUCUUCUUUGAUGCCCCCACGAUUGUUAUAUAUUUUUUAAAAAGAAAGUUGACAUCACUAGUUAAUUAUUANUUGACAGAAAGGUUUUCAAUAAUUUAGCCAAAAAUAAAUAAGCAAAGAGCAAGUAAAGAAACAUGACAAAAAAAGAAAAAAAAAAAAAGAAGAUAAAAAAACAAUAAAAGCCUGGGCUAAGGACAAUAAAAAACAGGAAAGGACAAUAAUUUGUACAAGCCAGGUGUGGUUUGUCCAUUGUCAAGCAAUUUUCAUUAUCAUUACCAUCCUUUCUUUUUUUCCAACUAUUGAUUGACUAAACUAUACACCAUUUUUGUUGGGUUCUUCCACCCUUGCACAUCUACAUAACCUCUACAUAAGCUAUGGAUGUAGACAAUUAAUGGCUAUUUAAUUACUUGGUUGGUGAUUAAUUAGCUCCAAGGGGACAUAACAACCAUUUCAAAAUUAAAGAAAAUCUCACAAGAAACACAAGAACAUAAAUUAAGCAUAUUAUUAUACAUUCAUAAUAUUUUAAUUGCAUCUUAGAAUUGUUUUUUGUUGUAUCUGAUGAGCGAUCGAACACUUGUUAAUUAGCGGGGAUUUGGACCCCGAUCUCUUCUUUGAUGCCCCCAUGAUUGUUAUAUUUUUUUUUAAAAAGCCAAAGAAAGUUGACAUCGCUAGCUAAUUAUGAUUUAAUUUUAUUCUCGGAAUAAGCUUGGUAGUUGAUUAUGCAUGUAUAUUUGCAUGUUAACACCAAUGUUGUUUGAUUAACUCAACGUGUAUACUUUCUUAAUUUCCUUGUGGAGGUGUUCGAAUCUUUAUAACCUAUAAAAUUUUGGAUAGUUAUUUCAUGUAAAAUAUAGAGUAAUCUAAAAACUGCUGUGUGAAUAGAGUUCUCUAAGAUAUAAAAGUUUUUUUUUUUUUUUUUUUUGGAGAGAUAGAAAGGAUAUUAUCCGUUUCGUUUAUUUUUUUUAAAAAUAACUUAGUUGAGAAUGUAAAUUAAUUAGAAUUCGAACUUGUGAUCUCGGAUACCAUCGUACCAACUACUAAAUUCUUUGCGACGCUAGGCACGGUCGGUUCGGGACAUAAAAGUUAUACCAAACAAAUAUAUAUAGUGAGCUCAAAUCUUGAGAACCCAAAUCCACUUUGACUAUAUAUUUUUAUCGGGUUAUCGGAUUCAAUUGAUAACCACAUUUUGGACUAAUAACCAAUAAAGUACUCUUUUUAUAGUGGUCACAUUCUAUGAACAAGACACUGACAUGUGGGACCCACUCAUUUUUUUAAAAUUUUUUUUUGGGUGGUGCGUAUUAUGUCUUCGCCCCGCACGUAGUCCCUUUUUCACACUAGCCCGGUCGUUGCCGCAACGGCAAUAACAACGGAUAAUAAUUAAAAUAAUAAUAAUAUUAACUAAAUCAUGCACAAAAAGAAAUCAUUCGUGGACCCUGUGCAUGAAGUUAUUCGUGCACCACCGCACCCGCAUAAUAAACAGCGAAUAUUUCUGCUUUUGUUUUCAAAGUGAAAAAGUCCAAAACUUUUAUUAUUGCUGAAAAGCAUAUGUAUAAUUUUGAGGUUUGUUAAAAAUUAAGAUCUCUUAUUAAAAAAAAAAAAAUUGUGUUUCUGGUCUAUACUCCAAGCAUACCCAGUAAAUCCCCACGUAAGAGAGGGGGAUAGGACUAGAGAGAGAAAAUCCGACCACCUACGAAUAAUAAUAAUAAUAAUAAUAAUAAUAAUAAUAAUAUAAAGCCCACCAUUAUUAACCUCCAUUUCCUCCUCGCCGCUCCGUCCCCUUCCUCUCCUCCGCCGCGCCAUGAAGGCCCUCCGACGCGCCCACCGCUUCCUCCGCCGCCUCGUCCGCCUCCUCUUCGCCCUCCUCGUCCGCCGCCGCCGCCACUACCAACCCCUCUCUCCUCCGCCGCCUCCCACGGCCUCCGCCGCAGCCGAAGACCCCCCACCUCCUCCUUCGCCCCCCGACCCCGACCGCGACGCCGACGCCGACGCCGACGCCGAUCUCGUGUCCCUGAAGAUUAGCUUGCUAGGUGAUUGUCGAAUUGGCAAAACGAGCUUCAUGGUAGUGAAAACCCCACCUUUGUUGUUUAAUCUCAAUUUAUUCGGGCGAUUAGGGUUUAAAAUUAACCUAACUUGUUUGUGUUGAUUGAAGAUUAAGUAUGCGGGCGGUGAUGAUGGGGAGGAGCAGAGGGGGCUACAGCUAACAGGGCUUAAUUUGAUGGAUAAGGUUUUGGUGGUGAGGGGAGUUAGGAUUGGGUUUACUAUUUGGGAUGUUGCAGGUGUGUAUUUGUUAUCACUGUGCUCCAACACUUUGAACCUUUUUAAACUUGUUUGGAGAAAAAAGUUAUACUUUUUCUGAUGUAUUUUUUAUAUGUGUUCAUGAAGGUGAUAGCCGAUUCCUGGAUCACGUCCCCAUUGCUUGCAAAGAUGCUGCGGCGAUUCUCUACAUGUUCGAUCUUACGAGCCGUUGCACGCUAAAUAAGUUAGUCCUAUCUAUUUUUAUCUCUGUAUUUUGAUGCUUAUUUUGAUCUUUACAUGGUCCCCGAAUUCACAAUUUAUAUGGAUUUGUAACUAGUGGUGUGCGAAUCUCGGUCAGAGUGUUUAAUUCAAGCGCAUCUUUGGUUUCCGUAUUGUGUGCUAAAUUCAGAUAUAACAAAUAGAACAUAUUGGAGAAAUGAUAGUCUUUGAUCUUUUACUUGUUGUUGGUAUCAUUUACUUGCUACAGUGUUGUUGAAUGGUAUCAAAGGGGAAGAAGAUGGAAUGAGGUAAUACAUUUUGAUCAUCUUCUUGUUACAUCUCGCUACUCUAAUCUUAUUAGGUAGUUAAUUUUGGGGAUCUAUAAGUUUACAGUGAAUGAGUUAGUUUUUGAGAAAGAUAUUUGAAUAUUGUUUCAGCUAUUAUAGUUACUUAUUCUUUUUUUCGUUAAUGUAGACAUCUAUCUCUAUCUUAAUUGGGACGAAAUUCGAUGACUUUGUUCAGCUUCCUCUUGAAAUGCAAUGGACGAUCAUUAAUCAGGUGAUCGAAACUUUUAUCUUCUUAUAAAAGAUGGCUGAUCAAAUGAUCUUCGUUUUUAUCCAAGCAUAAGUUGUGAAAUCAAACGAUCUUCGUUUUUUUUUCUUUUUAUGUUAUUACACUGCUAAUGCUUCAUAUAUGCAUUGUGUAAAUAAGUAUUAACCACGUAAGGAGUAACUGAAUUAAUCAUUAUAACCUAGUAAAUUGGAUCCUUAUGAACUAAUGAUUGACACAGGCUUUUGACUACUUGGCAUGAUAUACCAAGAUAUUAUUGAAGCUCGGAAAUUUAAAGACAUACCACGCAUUUGGCCCUUUAUUCCUAUUUGAUCGAUUUCAUUGAUUUUUAGUAUGUAACAAAUAGAUAUCUUCUUAGAGACUACUUCUGCAGCGAAAGGACUUGAGCUUGAAUCAUCGACUAACUGAUUUAGUUAUCAGUGCAAGAACCAAGUUUGGUAACUGAAGUGAUUAACCUCAACAACUGUUGCAAAAUCCAAUCAUAAAUAGUCUGAGUAUUUAUUUCAAUAUGUUCAUUCAAUCAAACAGGGGCUUUCCAUGUACUGGCAUAUUGAUUGAGUAGCUUAAAUAAGGAUCUCUCAAAUUUGGUGGACCCCUUAUGUGCUCCCCAGAUCAAUUUGUAUCAACCUUGUGCUCUCUUUGUGGACCCCCAUGUUUGGAAAAUCACAUAUUACCUAAAGUAAAGGCCAUUUUUUGUUGGAUAAGAGACAUUUCGUGAAACUCACGCCAUUUGAAGUGUCUAGUGUCAUGAAUGUGAGAUGGAUGGUCAUUAGCCCAUUAUAAAUGUUGUAUGGUAGGUCCUCCUGAAAGUGAGUUCAAUUUUAUUGGGAAAAAAACAUCUAUCUCUUCACAUGGUGCUCAGAUUGUGGUUGUAGCCACUGUUGCUCACUCAAAUUGCCAAAAGAAGUGAAAAGUUAAGAGUUUUUUUUUUUUUUUUUUUGAGAGAGAAAGGUAGCAUGCUACUUGUUUCGUUUAUUUCUAAAAGGAAAUGUGAAUCAACUAGAAUUCGAACUAAGGUCUCGGGUACCAACCACCAAGCCUUUUUGCCACUUACGCUAGGGACGGUCUGUUAAGGUUUUUUUUAAAACAAAUUUUACCCCGAAGAUUGGAGCUUUGUUGUGGCAAGAUGUUGGGAUGAGCUUUUGAAGCCGCACUUUCUUCAAAAGCUCAAGUCAGGCCAAACAGGCCCUUGGUUGCUCAUAGCAUGGUUUUUAAAACUUGAAUUUAAUGAUGCUUAUUAUUAUUAUUAUUAUUACUCAGGCCAGGGCAUAUGCAAGAGCAAUGAAAGCAACUCUCUUCUUUUCGAGUGCUACCCACAACAUAAAUGUGAACAAGAUCUUCAAGUUCAUCACAGCAAAGAUCUUCAACCUGCCAUAUACCGUGAAGAGGAACUUAACCAUCGGAGAGCCUAUUAUAGAUAUUUAGGUCCUAAGUUUCUUUUUUCCUAUCGUCUGCUUUCUCUGUUGGUACCUUGAAGUACAGCUUCUAUCGUAGAGUUUCAAUUCCUGCAGUGUAGAUAGCGAAACACGAGUCAUAAAGAGCCACGCAUUCGUCCCUCUUAUUUUGUUUUCCUAUCUCCUUUUAGUUUAAAUGCUGGGGCAAAAUAUGGAUAAAACACAAUCAAUAUGUAUCUUUGCAUCAUAAGUUUUAGAAGGUUUAUUGUAUAUCCAUAUAGCUUUCUCAGGUAUGGAUGGUAAUAAGUUUUCGACUAUAUUUACAUCUUGGUCUAGAUUUUUUUUGCUGUACUUUGAUGUUACUACAAUAAUAAAAUGCACCAUUGGUCAUCAACCUUCUAAUAUAGUUUCAAUUUGGUCUUCGAUCUCUAAAUUGUUAUGACCGAAUCUCUAGUCUUUUACUUCUAUUCGAUCAAACCUUUCUGUCGAAUUUUUGUGUAAAGUUGAAAGAAAAUUGUCCUGCAACUACUAUGAAAAGGCCAUCAAAACCAAAUUGAGUAUAUCAUAUGAAAAGAAGUCGGAAAAGUUACUUUUAUGAUGAUGACAUAUUGAUAAAAAAGACUAUUAACUGUGAUGGAAUGUCAAGUUUGGGAACUGAAUCAUGAAAAUUUAAAGGUGAGAACGAAAUGGAAAUUGUGCCUUACAAAGCAUGGUAAGGUCCCUUCCGCCUCCUCGACGAGCAUUCCGACACAAAGAUACAAAGAGAGUAUAAGAGGAUGGAAAAAAUCGACUAAUAAAUAUACAUUUUCUCACCUCUUUUCCAGCCCCAUGUUCUGCUCAAGAUCUCACAUAUUUUUUAUGCAUAUUAUUAAAGCGAAGCAUCCAUUCUGGUAUCUCUUUGUGCUUAUAUUCAGUAAUCUUCAGUGGACCAUGAAUUGUUGGAGACCUCAAAAGUGAUACAUCCGGAAAGAUUGCGUCGGAAUCUGCAAAAAAAGACAAACAAAAAUUAUAAAAUAAAGAAUGAAUAUAAGCAGUAUGUCUUUCCGAUGCAAUCUUUCCGGAUGUAUCACCUUUGAGGUCUCUAACAAUUCAUGGUCCACUGAAGAUUACUGGAUAUAAGCACAAAGAGAUACCAGAAUGGAUGCUUCGCUUUAAUAAUAUGCAUAAAAAAUAGGUGAGAUCUUGAGCAGAAGAUGGGGCUGGAAAAGAGGUGAGACUGUAUAUUUAUUAGUCAAUUUUUUCCAUUCUUGUAUACUCUCUUUGUAUUUUUGUGUCGGAAUGCUCGUCGAGGAGGCGGAAAGGCACUUAAUCUUAAUACUAUCAUCCAAAUCAUCUUCGUUCAGUUCAUCCUAACUGGUGGAAAGAUGCACCUCAAUUUAGUGGUAAAAUUUAUUCCAAAAAAACUUUAACUCUUCACUUGUUUUGGCAAUUUGAGUGAGCAUUAGUGGCUAUAUAUAGCCACAAUCUCUGAGCAACAUGUGAAAUAGAUGUUUUUUUUCCCAAUAAAAUUAAACUCACUUUUAGGAGGACCUAUCAUACAACAUUUAUGAUGGGCAAAUGAUCAUCCAUCUCACAUUCAUAGAACUAGAACUAGACACUUCAAAUGUCGUGAGUUUCACGAAAUGUCUCUUAUCCAACAAGAAAUGGCCUUACUUUAGGUAAUAUGUGAUUUUUCAAACAUGAGGUCCACAAAGAGAGCAUAAGGUUGAUAAUUAGCCACCUCUUAUAUGGCAAAUUGAUCUGGGGAGCACUAAAGGGGUCCACCAAAUUUGAGAGAUCCUUAUUUAAGCUACUCAAUCAAUAUGCCAGUACAUGGAAAGCCCCUGUUUGAUUAAAUGAACAUAGUCGCUAUCGAAAUAAAUACUCAGACUAUUUAUGAUUGGAUUUUGCAACAGUUGUUGAGGUUAAUCACUUUAGUUACAAAACUUGGUUCUUGCACUGAUAACUAAAUCAGUUAGUGGAUGAUUAAAGCUCCAGUCCUUUCGCUGCAGAAGUAGUCUCUAAGCCUGUGUUUGGUUUGAGGUUAAUGGGGGAAUAACCCCUUAAUCCCGAAGUUACUCCCAAAUACAAUAAAAUAGGGGUGGAGUUAACAAACCCCCCCUAAGAUAACCCGUUAGAGGUGGCGUUAACAAACCCCACCCCCCAUAGAAUUGGGGUGGAAAAAGUUAAUCCCACCCCAAUUCAAUUUUUUAAUUAAAAUUAAAAUUUUAAAUUUUGAUUUUUAAAUUUAAAUUUGUAUUUGUAAGUUUAAAAUUGAGACAUAUAAUUUUAAAUUAUUAGUUUUAAAUUUUAAAUUUUAUAUUAUUAUUUUUUUAAAUUUAAAAUUUAAAAUUUGAUAUUUUUAAAUUUAAAUUUAAUCAUAAAUUUAAAAUUUAGAACUUAAAAUUUUUGAAUUUGAGAUUUAAAAAUUAAUUUUUAUUUAAAUUUUUUAAAUUUUUAAAGUUAUUAACUUAAAUUUAAAAUUUUAAUUAUAAAUUAUAAAUAUUUAAAUUUAAAUAUAAAAUUAUUUUCUAUUUAUAACAACCCACUAUCCUUCUUAUUUCAGUUACCCCAACCAAACACUAUUUUAUUUAUAUCUGGACUAAACCCAAUACUCAACCAAAUACAAAAUUACUCUAAUCUCAUCUUAACCCUGAACUUAAUUCUAUCCCUGAAAUAACUAAUUCUUACUUAACUCCGAACCAACGAAGCCUAAGAAGAUAUCUAUUUGUUAGUUGUUACCAACUAAAAAUCAAUGAAAUCGAUCCAAAUAGGAAUAAAGGGCCAAAUGGGUGGUAUGUCUCUAAAUUUUCAAGCUUCAAUAAUAUCUUGGUAUAUCAUGCCGAGUCGUCAAAAGCCUGUGUCAAUCAUUAGUUCAUAGGAAUCCAAUUUACUAGGUUAUAAUGAUUAAUUCAGUUACUCCGUAUGUGGCUAAUACUUAUUUGCACAAGGUAUAUACGAAGAAUUAGCAGUGUAUAACAUAAAAGGAAAAAAAAAAAACAAAGAUUGUUUGAUUUCACAACUCAUGCUCGGAUAAAAACGAAUAUCAUUUGAUCAACCAUCUUUUAUAGGAAGAUAAAAAUUUCAAUACCUGGUUAAUGAUCGCCCACUGCAUUUCAAGAGGAGGCUGAAUCAAGUCAUCGAAUUUCGUCCCAACAAGUAGCAAAAAAAAACAUCAUUAAAAUAAUUAUCACACGUUAAAUUUUAAAAAUAUAUUUCCAAAAUUUUGGAUAUCUAAUAUGUAGACUUUUUCUGCAUCCUAGUAUCUCAGAAUAAAUAAUUCAAAAAAAUCAAUAAUAUAAAAAGAGUUAUUAUUAUACAUUAGACUAAGAAAGUACAAUUAAAAACUUGUGAAUUUUUUAGAUGCAAAGAUUCCGAGCUAUGUUUUACAUGACCGGUCCAUAGUGGACCAGGUCCAGGCAACAAUUUCUCGUCUUGAAGUCUGGUUUAGAGUAAUUUGAUACGAAGUUGAGGGCAAAUAUGGAAUUUUAAAAAAAAUCCAUGUGAAAACCCUAACUCUCUUCACCUCCACGAAUAUAUAUACAUAAACCCCUCGUCGUCUACACCGUCUCCGGCCGCUCGAAGAGGAAUCGGAGGAGGAUACUUCGGAUCCGAGAGACUAAACCCUAGGCGCAAUCAUGGUAAUAUGACUCGCUUAGAUCCAAAUCGUACGCUUUUACGAUCAAAUGAGGAAGUUUUAGAUCGAAAUAUCAUAGCUUUGCCAGGAAUAUUAGUUGAAAAUUGACGAUUUUAGGGAGUAAACGAUGCUGAUGCUGUGAUCCGGAACAUAUAGGUGCUCUUUGUGUUGUAGAAUUUGGGUUCAUAGUGUUUGUUGCAUUCUAGGGUUUGGAUCGGAUGCUUAAUGAAGGUAAAAGUCACGAAAUUGGGAGAUUGGUUAUCGCAUAUUAUAUAUUGGUUUUAAAAUAAAUUUUUAAGUUUUGCUGCUUAAGUGUUGAAUUAGUUUGGCACUAUAAAAAAUUUUUUAGUACAAAGGAAAAGAAAUAGUAGGUGUUCAUGUAGUUUGGUGCAAGGAACAGGUGUUUAUUAGGUUGAACUGUAGCUGGGGGAUUGUAGGGGCUAAACUGGAUGUAAUAUAUUAGUUCAAAAUUUCAGUAUAGUAUAAUUUUUGCAUGCCUGCGACCUUUGCAUUUUUUAAUCUCUUGUUACGUUGCUCAUCUAUUGCUUGCUCGUUAGAAAACUGAUUAGCUUGCGCUUGUUCUUAUUCAACCUUUAUCGGAGCAAAGCUUAUACUUGAAUAGGGAAUAUGGCAAUUGGCACACCCGGUUACUAAUUUUACUAUUGAAGUGCUUAAUGUCUUCAUCUGCUUUUCCAAUCCAACUUUGUUAUUGUGGAAUGAUCUAUCAAACUACGAAGCGACAGAAACAUUUGAAAAGGAGUUUUUUUUUUUUUUUAAAAAGUCAAGAGUCCUGUCACUUGCCAGCUCUGGAAAUAUUGGUCCUUAAGUGCUGGACUUCCUAUUUUUCAUUCAGUUCUUUGAAUUUUGCCAAUGAAACCUUUGAACUACCUUCUUGCUAGUAAUAGUCAAUUGCAAAGAUCCAAACUUUUGCAAUGGUUGAAACCUUGUGGACAUUGCUGGAUGAUUUAGUUUGUGGAGGAUUCGUAUAUCAUUGCAGAUCGUUAUUUUGCGCCGGCGUUUCUGCUGCUAUUGUAGUUCUUGUUAUUCAUAGUUUUGCUUGGUGGUUCUUGCCCAUGCAACCUUUUGCAAAAUAUAUUUGUUUUAUAGGUGAACGUUCCAAAGACGAAGAAGACGUACUGCAAGAACAAGGAAUGUCGGAAGCACACCCUCCACAAGGUCACUCAGUAUAAGAAAGGUAAAGAUAGUCUCUCCGCUCAAGGGAAGCGCCGUUACGACCGAAAGCAGUCGGGUUAUGGUGGACAAACAAAGCCCGUUUUCCACAAGAAGGUAAUGUAAUCACUCGUUACUACGCUGGAUAUAUUACUGUUCCUACCAUUAGUGGUACCUCUAGAGUAAUUAAGAGAUGUUUCAAGUUAUGUACUUUUGAUAGUGGAAUAGAUUAACUUGUAUCCAUUUAUUAUUGUCCUCUUGGGAGAACUAAGGAAUGCAUGGUAAUUUUACAUAUUCCAGGCAAAAACGACCAAGAAAAUUGUGUUGAAGCUGCAAUGUCAGAGUUGCAAGCAUUACUCUCAACACGCAAUUAAGGUUUUCUAUUUUUAGUUAUAUGCGUUUAUGUUUUAAUAUGCUGCUUAUAUUAUCUGUUUCUUGAGUAGUUAGUUAACUUUGGUAUCUUGUUACGCAGAGAUGCAAGCAUUUUGAGAUUGGUGGAGACAAGAAAGGGAAGGGUACAUCUCUUUUCUAAUUUGUUGGGCAUCUCCCAGUUUGUUACUUUAUUGCCUUUUAUUUUUCCCUUAAAUGAACAAGUAUUAAGGGAGGUUCUUUCUGAAGUAUUGAUGUCAUUUUCAAAUUUUUGUUUAAUGAAUAUUGGCACUGAUAAUGUUAGUUCCCUUCUAUUUUGUUGACAAUGGUUGGUGCAUCCUCUAAUAGACAGGAUAAAAGAAAAUUCGCUGCUUUAACCAUUUAGUUUUGUACUGCCCAGAAUUGUCGUAAGUUCAAAUAAAGAGCAUUUUUCAUGAUAUUAAUUACCAACCAUGCAGUGAGCUAGUAGUAAACAUUUUCUGGUUAUAAGUACCAUAUGGUUGCUUUUGCUGGAUCUUUCCUUCUUCACCUCACCUAAUUUUUUUCGUAUAACAUUAAUUAGUGUGUGGUAACUUUGUCGAGAGGUGGUUAAUCAGGUGAUGGUGAUUAUUAUGAUUAGUGUUAAGUUUGGUUGUUUUCAAUAGCUGUUAAUUUUUGGGUGUUCAAGAUGAAACAAUGUGAGCUAACAAUUUCUGGCUAAAUGAGAUCCUGAAGUUGUGUUGUAUUACUAUAAUAUAUGCUUAUGCAUGAAAAAAUGAGAGAGAGAGAGAGAGAGAGAGAGACCAAAGCUGUCUCAGUUUCCUAAAUCAUGGAUGUUUGCUUACUGCUUUAGUGAAUAAAUCAAACUAGUUACUAAUGUAACUCCCAGCAUUUAGCCUAGUUGGAACAAAUUGAAACAUGUUAGAAGCACAUUUAGCCUAGUUGGAGCUUCUCCAUAAAGGGCUGUUUAAGCAUAAUUACUCCAAAAGACACUUAAACAGUUCUUUUCAUCAAAAUACUCCCAAAAUUUUGAAAUGGAGCUUCUACUUUUCAAUUCUAGAAUUCCAUUUCAGCUUUUACCUGUAGUUGGUCGCCGAGCACCUCCACUUCUGCUUCUGAGAAUAGAGAGGCCUAUUUCGACAGGCUACUGCAGGGAAGGAAAUACUCUGUAUUCCAUUUGAAUACCAAAUAGGGACAAAUCAAAAAUCUCCAUUAAGAUACGUAUUUAUAACAAAUUGCAAGUUGCAGCUCAUGUACAGCAACAAAGUACUCUGAUCCAAACAGAGAAGCAUUACAGAGAUAUGAAUAAGAAGGCCAUAGAGAGAGAGAGAGAUCCACAAUAGGUAUCAACACUAAGCAACAAUCAUGUGCUAAACCCUCUCAGCCCUCUUCAUAUCAAAUAGCUGUUUUCAACUGAGAUGGGGACAAUAACAAUAUCAACCCACCAUGUCAUGCACACACUUCACACACCCAAACAAAAACACAAUGCAAACAAUAAAAAAUAAAACAAUUCAUUAUUUCCUCAGGUACUAAACAAGACAAGCUAGCCUAAGUUUUAUUACUAUUUAAAAUGAUAACAUAUCUACAAAUACCUGCUGAUACUAAGAUGCUAGAAUACCAAUACUACAUAUGCUGGGCCGCUGCGAAAAGUUGGCUCUACUGCUCUGCGAAGCCGGAAAAUCUACUAGGGGUAGCGAACCGGAUAGAGACUUUGUCAUCAAAUCUUGUGCGGAUUCCAAUAGUUUAAUUCUUUGCCUGCAAAAUUAGAAAAAGAAAAAUUAUGUGAUUAGAUCCAAUGGUAUUUAACUGAUUGGAAUGAAGAGCAAGAUUCGAUGACCAGUCAAACACUGCAAGCAAAAUUGUUUCAAUCAUAGACUGUAAUAACCACUGCAGGCAGUUCUUCACCUCUUCUUUCUCCUUUUUCUCCAUUCGUUUUCACAUUUAAUUUUACUAUUUCUCUCUUAUACCUUGUUGAGAAGAGUUCUCAUAUGAGUUUAGCCAUUAAAGAUGAAACCUAGAUGCUUGUAAAUUCAAGGUUAAACUAAAAUUACAGCGAGGAAGAGAAUUAGGAGAUUAAAGGCAUCAAAUUACCUGAGAAUAAAGGAAGGUGCCCAAAAUGGCGAUGGCCGCUCCGAGCGCGUUGACGGGUUGGACUGGCGUGUGGAAAAUAAUGAUAGACGAGACAAUAACUGAUAUCCUCUUCAUAGUGUUGCCAAUGCUAAAGGUUAAAGGAGAGAUCUCAUCCAAGGACAUGUAGGAGACCUGGUUGUACAAGUGGUAGAAGAUGCUCUGCGCGGCUACCCACCUGAUCAUACAUGAUUCAAGAACCACAAUAAAUCAAAACUGAACAAAAAUAAAAAAUACAACAAUGCGUUUCAGAAAAGGUAGCAAAAUUAUAUGUUGUACUGUCUAAGUUAGCGAACGUUUAAAGGUGUUUGAUUCGAUGACAAAUUCUUUGGCAAGGACUUUCCUUUUAACAAUCGACUAGAAAGUUGGUGCAAAUAUUGUUUUACAUUUGAUCUUACAUCGUGGAACGACUGCAGUGAUUACAGGGUUAACUUGAGAUAAGAGCGUUGCAUUACCAGAAUAAAUUGAUUUGAUUGUAACAAUUAUCCCUCCACCCUUUUCAUGUUAAACAUAAUAAGGAGAAUAACUUAUCCCCUGGUUUUGUGCUACCUUUGUUUUGUGAUUGUUUAUUGUUAAAGAGUAGAUGGUGAAAAUGCCAACAAAGAGAUAAUUGAGUAAACACUAGAACCUUCAUGUCACAAACAAUGUAAAGCAUGUAUAAUGACCACACGUAUCUACCUAUUACUAGACGGUAACAUGAAUUCUGAAACAGGACAAGAACUGCGACAAAAGAACUCUCUUUUUCUGUCACUAACCUCCUGAAUGAAGAAUGAGAAACACAUUCUUAGCAACUUUAACAGACAUUCAUCGGCCAAACGCGAGGCAUGUGAAUGAUAACAUAAUAAAUUUCAUCUAUAAUACUAGCAAAAGUAUCUAUGGUAAGUUCAAAAAUAAUGUCGCAAUUAGAAAUUACCAUAUGAAAUGGGGACCGAUCUGCGAAAUCGCCUUCUCCCAACCUGCCGCCCACAUCUGCGGUCCCUCCACCGCGAAGGCGAAUGGGGUGAGAAUGAGCAGAGAGAGCAUGGAGAGGCAGGCAUAGUAGUUCAUCCCGCCAACCGACUUACCCUUCAUCCCUUUCUUGGAAAAUAUGUUGCGGAAAACAAAUGCGAGGUUCGAGAUCAUAGCUCCCAUGAAUCCUGCAAAGAUUACCAAAUAGCCAAGAAGAUUUCAUCAGUUUAAGAGUUCAUAAAUAUACUACAUAACAGUAUUUAUCAUGGAAAACACAACACAACAGGGCUAAAGGGGAUGUGAAAGGACAAUGACUUGAGAAAGAAAAAAGAGAGUAUUUGGCCAACAACAUCCUACAUAGAGUCAAUAAAGAUUGAGCCACAUACAAAUUUCAGCAGAAGAGUUCUCACAGAAUUGGUUAAUCAAACAAGUAAAAGAACAAUUACAAUACUACUGAGAAACACCAACAAUACCAAAAUUUUGAAUACUAUAUUAUUAUUAUAGUAUUUUGGAGUAAUUUAUUAUCAAAGUAUCAUAAGAGAAGGUUUGGACUGAAUCCUUGACAAAGACAAAAAAAAGUAUGAUCUGUUACAAUACCUUCAGAACAGAUAGUUUUUUUCGAAAAAUUAAUUCGAUAAUAAAUGUUUCAUAAUGAAAGAGCAAACACUCAUAAAUUUAUCUUUGUGAUACUCCUCUUACCAAUCAUGUUGAAAUUGAGCUCCGUCACUGCUGCGAGAGCACAACCGCCGAUGAUCGGAAUGAGCGAGAGGUAAACCGGCACCGGAAAAGUCUCCCCCAAGAGGAACCUCGACACCACCACGCUGAACGCCGGCUCAGCGCUCUUAAUGAUAUGCGUGAACGACACCGCCACCUUCGACAUGCUCACCGUCGCGGCCACAUGACCGAUCGUGUGCGCCACCGCAACCUAACGCACAAACUACAUGUCAAAAACAGCUUUUUCUUCACAGAUAAUCCGAGAAUUGAGAGCAAAAUCCAAUUUUUUACAUACGGGAGCUAGAGCUUUCCAGAAUUCGAGAUCGGUCUUAGGAGUCUCGGCAAUCCGAGUGGCCCAGGAGACGAGCAUGAUGAGGGAUCCGGCCGCGAGGGAGAGGGUCGAGGUGAGCCAUGGGUAAGGGAACGCGUUGAGCACCUUCUUGUUGUAGAUGUUGAACACCACGUUGAGCGCCCACCACGUCGCGAAGUAGACCCCGAUUUUAGCCCUCUGCGCCGCCUUAGCUGCCGUCGCCGUCGCCGCAGCCGCCGCGGCCCCGGCUUCGCCGGCGCCGCCGCCUUGGGCCGGGAUCUCGAUCCCCUCCGGACGCUCCGACUCGAACGCCCGCGGCCGGCGCUCGGCGGGGGGGUCCCCGCACCAGAUGCGGAGCCCCUCAACAGGGGUUCGACACAAGGGCUUAAGCAAGAAAACCGACACCAAUUCAGGGUUUUUGGACGCAGGGAGCGGAGGAAGAAGCGAAGAGCUAAGCGCCGAAGCUCUGGGCUUGGAUCUAGCGAGGUUGUGGGCGGUAAGCGCCGCCGAGGAUUGCUUCACGGACAUCAUGGACGCCAUUGGGGCCGAAACAGGGAGCAAAAACCCGACCUUUUUGCUCCAAAUCCCUCGUGGGUUUCAGGAGAAACCCUAAUUUAGAGAGAGAGAGAGAGAGAUAUAUAUAUAUAUAGAGAGAGAGAGAGAGAGGGAGAUAUAGAGAGAGAGAGAGAGAGAGAGAGGGGAUGGGGUGAGAGAUGGAGGGGGAGGAGAAGAGGAGCUCGGUAUUUAUAGAUAAAGAGAGAGGGAGAGGAGUUUAAUUUGAUUUGUUUAAUAAUAAUUAAUAUAUUAAUAAUAAUAUGAAUUAGAUUUGGGAAAAAGAAAAUACAAAAGCGAAAUCAUUUGAACACGUGGCAUAUUUUUACUUGUUGGGUUAAUCUACGCUAGCUCCAGGGACACUGUUUCGUCCACCCGGUCCACCACGUCAUCAAAGACCGCCGCGCUGUCAAUGUUUGGUGAAUUUCAUUGAACGGUAAAGAUCUGAAAGGGUGAGAACGAACGGCAGAUGCUUAGUCGAUGCAGAGAUGAUAUGAUGCACUCGGCCCAUGUAUAUUUUCUUUCUUCGUUCAUUUGAGAAGGCGGAUUCGCUACAACCUGGUUCGUAGCUAUCGCAGGGGAAAGUGGUACGUGGCAUUAUGUUAUUGGGUAUUAAACCGUACAACCGAGUAGGACAAGUAGGGGAUCAAAGAGAGUAGCAAAGUUGGAACAUGAGAAAGUGAUAGAACGCCUAUGGGCGUUGGAAGGACCAAUUUAAUGUCAUAAAGAUAUUUUAAAAAAACUAUAUUAAAUAUAAUUUUCAUAUAUUAUUAUUAUUAUUAUUCAUAUAUAAUUCCCCUCCUAUUGUGAAGUGUAGUAGGAACUGUCAUUGGUGUAAAAGAUAUUCGUAUAGUACUAAAUUAAUUUGAUCAAAAUUAAUGCAUUCACUCUUUUACAAUUGAGAUGUAAAUCGUGUUUUUGUUUUUUUUUUUUUUGGUUGGCGUGAGAUUGUUUAUUGGGAAAACUUCAAAUACUCCAAGUGAUUUCAUACUUUCUCACUUUAGUACCCUAUAGUUUUAAGUGUAUCAAGUUGGUAUUAUGUGAUUUUGCACUUUCUCACUUUAGUAUCUUGUGAUUUCAAGUGUAUUAAGUUAGUACCCUGUUAUUUUAUUUUUGUAUCAAGUUAGUACUCUAUAGUUUCAAUUUUUUCUUUUUAUUAUCCAUUUCGGGGUAUAUAAUUUAACGAAUUAUUAAACCACAGGAUAUUAAAGUAAGAAAGUGCGAAACCACAGGAUACUAAUUUGAUACACUUGAAACUACAUGAUACUAAAGUGAGAAGGUGAGAAACUGUAGAAUACUAUUUUGAUACACUUUAAAUCAUAUGAUAUUAAAAUAAAAAAGUACGAAAUCACAGGAAUGAUAUUUGAAGUUUUCCUGGUUUAUUUUCGUGUCAAAAGUAAAGACAGGACUCGUGAGCAUGUCCAACGCUCUUCCUCACGUGUUUGGAUUUGCUACCAAGCUCGCAAGAUUAAGAGCGUGCAUCACAUCCUUUUUAUGCGUUCAAUUCUCCUGCGAACUCGCCAAAGCAGUCUAAAUUGCUGACACAAACCUCACUACACUACUACCUUUGCCUCGUGACCUCUGCAUGCACGCACGAAUUUAUUAUGACUAGCACAGUUGGUUGCACAUUUGAUGUCCUAAAAUGUCCAGCUAGUAUAGAGGACCAAAAAAAGGAAAACAAUUAGUCUAACUAAUAAGCUUAAAUGAGAAUGUAGUUGAACAAAUAUGGGUGAAGGAAUUACUUAAUUAGCUUAGAAUUGGUUUAAUGUUUGUACACAUAUAGAAAACUUGGUUUUUGUGCAACUAAUCUAAUUAUAAUUUAGAGUCUGGCUACAGUACUAUCAAUAGCAUCAAGUAUUUGGUAUUUUUAAGUUUUCUGCUAUUAAAUCUACCUCUUCGACCAUUUUCAUCUGUUAGAGCAUACUAUUCAACCAAUCACCCACACAAUUCUAAAAAACUACUAUCAUCCGAAUCGUACAUCAUUUCAUCCAUGGGCCGAAAACUUAAUAGCAUCGAUGACUUGGCGCUAUUAGUAGUAUUCUAGUUUAGUUCUCUGAUUCAUCAUAUUUCUAACUUAAAUUUUCGAAAGUACAAUUAAAGGUUCAAGAUUUAAAUGGAAUUGGAUGCCAAAAAUUAACUUGAAAAAAAAAACUGAUGUUUGUAUUAAUGUGCUAAAACUUAUUUCUCCAUUAUAUGUAGUGGUUGCAUUACAGUUGGGAAUGAUUUUAAUCUAAGUUUCACAUGCUUUGCAUUUUUGAUUUAUUUCACAUGGAAUAGUAAGUUUUACUCUACCAACAUUUUAAUUUCUGCACUAUCCUCACAUUGCAUAACAGUGUCUUAAAAUUUUAAUUUAAAUUCUAAAACUUGAACAUCCUCGCAUAUCAUAAAUCUGAUUGAAAGAGCUAAGUGAACAACAAUUGAGAACGGGAUAAGAUCGAUUGAACAAUGGUUGAACCGACCGACCGUCCCUAGAGCAAGCGGCAAAGGGUUUGGUGGUUGGUACCCGAGGUCCCAAGUUCGAAUUCUAGUUGGUUCACAUUUCUAGCUAAGUUUAUUUCUAAAUGAAAUAAACGAAGCACGCUAAAAAUAAUAAUAAUAAUAAUAAUAAUAAUGGUUGAACCGGAAAAAAUACUAAACUGUUUAGAAAGAUACAAAUUAACCUCUGAUAAUGACUAAACCGAAUCUAAUACCGUAUAAAGGAGUUCAGUUCAGAACUGACCCAAAAAUAUCAUGUGGUCCUGAUAACAAUAUAUACAACUGGAAUCGAUUUCAGACCGUUGAAAUUUAAACUGUGGAAAAUAGUAAUAAUUUUCAUGUCUUUGGUCCAGUUCGUUGAAUUCAUUGUCAUCUAAUUUGGCAUCACGCUUGCAAUAAUAAUACGCCCUGUUUGUGUUCUGCUCUCCGACUUUGAAAGGCGCGGGAAAUUGGCGCGCAUCUUCAUCGAGGAGUGGGCCAUGCUGACCGUUGAAGGGCCGCCACGUGUCACGUCUCCCACGUGGGCGGGUAUGUGAGCCCGGAUCCGAAACAACCGUUGUUUUCCGCGUGCGCGUACGAAUGCAAACGGAGCGGAUCAGAGAGCAAGACGCAUGGCUCACCUACCGUCCUGUUUUCUUGACGAAUUUUAAAAUAUUUUAUUUAAUUUAUUAUUUCGUUGGAAUGAAUUUUUUACGAAUUUUUGAUAAAUAAAAAUUAGAUGGAAUUUUUUUUUCGAUCCUUUGGUCUCGUGUUUUUUAGUGGAUUAGAAUAAGUUUAGGACGAAUUAAUUUUAUUCUUUUUUUGAAUUAAUCGAAAUGAGCAGAGACAAAAGUGUCGUGGGUUUGGAUCCAUUUGCAUUCCUACACGCGGGUCGAAUACGCACCGUUGGGUUCGAGUCGCGUCACCUGUCACCACCAAACCUCGGCGGCUUCAACAACUUUCUCUCUCCUUGAGAAGCGUCGUUUCCGCUUAUUAAUAUGACAACAAAAUGCUGUCCUAGGGAUUCCUGUGGCCUCAUUGCAGCCCAUGCCCAUGAGAGCGAUGAUGGUGAUUUAAUAUGGCAUUAUUAUUUUUUUUAUUAUAUUAUAAAGAACCAUUAUUUUUUUGGACUAAAAUACACAAAAUCUUCUGUUAAUAUCCAUUUUUCAUAUUUUCUCAUGUUAUUUAAAAAUCUAUAUUUUAUCUCUUAAAAAAUAAAAAAUGUACACUCCGGUCUCUAUCCUCAGUAUUACAUUAUUUUUUAUACCCAAAACAUCCCUGAAACUCUGAUCCUCCUCAUUUUUCUUCAUCGACUACACGUUCUCGCCCUUCUUCGCUGCCUUGCCCUCGCAAGCUCUCAGCCCAUACCCACCACGAUCUCCUCCCUACAGUCACUGAAGGGCGGUGAGGGUGCUGGAGAAGCAGGAGAGCAGGUGGAGAAAACAAAGUCGGAGCUGGGGUCUAGGGAGGCGCGGGGAAGGGUGCGGGAUGAACAGGAUUGGGGAGGAGACGAAGAAGAUGAAAGCAAUUUAGUCAUUUUGUCAUAUCGUAUCCCGUGUGAAUAUUUUUUUUAUUUUUUAAGGGGGCAACGUAUAGGUUUUUGAAUGAUAGUGACAGAUAUUGACAGGAGAAUUUUUUGUAAUUUAGCAUUUUUUUUUUAACGAAAUAAUUUCAUUGCUCAUCAGCAUCAUAACCAACCGGAAUAAGAAUAAUUCAUAUUAACUAAGAUCGAUUCAAAUUUUGAUUGACAAUGAAAGAAAUUAUACCCUUUAAACUGUGAGUGAUAUUAUUAUCGGAGCUGAUUAAGUUUUUAUAAAUGUGAUAUGUUUUUAUUAAAAGUUUUCUAAAGUUAAGAUCAGACAAUUGAAUGGUCAAAACAUGCCACCAUCAUUUUCUUUAUUUUUGUCGGUAACAAACUCUUUGUGAAAUUUCUUUGCUAAUCCCUCUACUGCAACAUCCCGUCCACUUCAUAUGAGUCCAAAAUUAAAUGUGUAACUCACGAACUAUGGUAGGUGUUCAAAAUAUCAUUUGUUUAUUGUAAAUUAAAGAAGUUUCGAAAUCAAAUGAAACUUUCAAAAACUUUUAGAAAUCACAGUAAUAUAUAUCUCUACAUGCUUUUAUCCUGAUUCCUGACUCUUUUUUUUUUAAUAGCAUCAGAUAUGCUUCAAUACCAAACUAGGCCUUAAUUAAUAACUUGGUAAUGUAUUACCAUGGAAAUGAACCUGCGUUUAUAGAUUAAAUCACAACUCAAAGUUAAAAUUGAUCUUCCAAUAGGCAUUCAUUCCACAACAAAGCAACAAUCAUCAAAAUCAAGCCAAAAGAUUAGUCCAAAAACAAUGACUAAAUUAUUCAUUAAGGGAGAAAGAAGUGCCACUGAUGGUUUGUGGCAACUUAGCCCAACAUGAACAAGAGCUUUUCAGAAAAAGCAGUACUCAUAUAGAAGAAGAGUUUUUCCUUUUUAUUUGUAAUAUGAAAGCAGGAAAAAGGAUAGUUUAUUUCAAGAACCUUAGAUUGUAUAGCAUUUGUAAGAAGUCAAUUCCCGAACCAAAGCCAUCGAUUUCCGGCGAAGCUGCGGUUCGUUCUUGACUUGCUCAUAAAAACUAUACUCCUUUGCUGCAACCAAAGAAACAAAAGAAGUGAAGAUGUUAGAAAACUGAACUAGAAAAGAUGAACUAAACUAACUUACUGAGCAGUAACAUACUAUACCAGUUUCACUGCCCAUUGUCUCCUGAGAGAGCUGCUCUGAUCCUUUCACAAGUACCAGAAACAAGAUUACGAACUGUCGAAACGGACCCGGCAGGGAGACCGGGUUCUGGACCCGAUCGAUCUGCGAUGAUCUGAAAGACGACUGUCAGAAGAGACCCGCCAUUCUCGCCGUCGCAGGCCAUGCCAUUUUCCGCGCCCGACUUCAUGUCGGGGUGUAUGGCGAAACCCGAAGGGAGGAGCGCAAUUGCGCUUGUUGGGUCUGCACCACUGAGGACCAUGUUCAAUGCAGUUGCAUCAAUAGGAGCAUAUAUCACAAAGGAGCCACUAGUGUUGUAGCAACUCUGUUGGAGUAUCAUUAUGUUGUUCUCAUCACCACUUGCCGAGCCCUGAAAUCAAGAAUCAAAUUACAUGUAUUUGCUCAUGAUACACAUCUGAGACAACAAAUUUUAUAUAUAUAUAUAUAUACAUAUAUUAAAAAUUCGUAUAAACGGUAACUAUAUAUGGAUAUGUUUGAGCUUACGCCAGUUCGGAGUAUCGAUACGCAGUUCUGUCGCCCUUGGCAAUUAGCGACCUCAGCUACUUGAAUUUCGCUUCCGUCGUAAAAGGCAUCCCACUGCAAUUUGGAGAAAACAGAUGAAAGAGUUUGGUUAAUUGUUCCAACAUAGAGUUCAAAAUUUUUCGACAACAUACGAGAAUCUUGUAAGCGAGAAGUGGCCAUAUCAUCAAAACUAAAAUAACAAACAUCUCCUUUUUGCUGUAAUAUAGAUUAUGAUAAUGUGUAUAUUCAGAUGUUUAUGUUCACAUGUGCAAAUACAUGCAUAAAACAACAGCCACAGUAGGGAAUGAUAAGAAUAACUAAUUGUUGAUAGAUUAGUUUAGGAAUUGAAGAACUGAUGAUUUCGCGGUCCCUGAAUACCUCGUGACGAGAGGUCUCGCUACGCAGGAACUCGAACACCCUUCUCAUUGGAACAGCUAACCAGAAGGAAAUGCAUGCAGAGAGAGCAACACCAGUUGGAUUAUUAGGAUCUUGAUCACCAUUAUUGUUAAUCGUUUUGCUCAUAACCUUUGCUGCCGCUUCUUCUUCGGUACCAAUCCCCGCUUCGACGGUCCACUCGUGCUCAGGCGAGCCGGAGAUGGCACCGCAAAAGCUCUUCAUCAUGUUCUCUGCUUGCUUCAGUAAGUUCUUUCCCCCAUUUGGGUCUACUGCAAUAUAGAGUUGCAGAAUACUAAAUUUUUCAUCAUGUAGAAUAAGCUCUUCUUUUAAUUUUUUGUGAGAUGAAACUUGAUAGUUGCAUUGAUGCCUUUAAAAAUAUACUAAUAACUAACAGCAACAGUUGCAAAAAGUUGAGCAUGCAUAUUGAAUAUUUCUAAGGACAAAAAUGAGAAUUUUGACUUAGAAAAGGCAUAUUUAUAUUCAAAACUCCGACUUUUUGGGUCAUCACCAUUGUACUCGAAGAUCGAAUUGUUAAUGGCCAUCACAUGUCGAUCAAUAGUUGCGAUCCACUGGCUCGCGCCAAAGGCUAGACCUGAGUUCACAAAUGGCUUGUACAUCUCAUGAACACCUCCAUCAUCCACCUCGACAUGCUCAACCCAUACAACCUGUGCCAUAAUCAUCAUUAACAUGUUAUAAAGAAUCUUAACCGAGUAUAUGUUAAAUGUAUGUGCAAGUUCAUACCUUUGAGGAACCAUCUUGCAUUGCUUGGAUUAUGCAGCCUGAUGGUCUCCUCCGGCAUGUCGUUUUGGUGUAAUCGCGACCGUCAGUGGUUAUUAUUUCAGAGUAACCGUGGCCAUCAAAAGAAACAUCGACGACGGCCCAGAGGCCUUCGCCAUGCUGUUUGCAGUACCUUAAGAACACACAUUCUCUUUUCGGCACCAAAGGAGACGGGAACUGGAACUCUGCUUUCAUCUGAUAAAUGCAUAAUGUAAGAAUCUUGUUUAACUUAUUUUUCUUUCUGAAAAGGGCUUCAUGAGAUCCAUACCAGCUGCAGAGUUUUGUCAUCACUUCCCUGAACUUCUGCAGGAAAAGCUUCGACAGUCGAGGCCGUCGAAACGAUGCUUGAAAAGAAUGAUUCAUAGCUAUUCUGCAGAUUAUCAGAAAAGCAAAGAGUUAAAAAUCCAACCUGAUGCAAAACCAAUCUAUUCUGAAACAGUACUGCACCGCACUUACAGCAUUCAUGAAGAUGUCUAUAAGUUGCCUGCAGUCAAGUGCAACCACUGCCGUCGCGCGGGUCGCCUCUGUCUUCAGUCCAUCUAUCCUUGGCCCGACCCCCCGCGAGAGAUGCUGCGCGUACUCCUCUUCAUUCAGUAUAUCAUUUGUGCCGUCGGGGCUUCGAAGCCACAGUGGCUCCACAAGCUGAGCCAUGUUUAUGAGCUCGGUCAUCGCAUCAAUUGCUAGCUGUGCUAUUGCCGGUCUUGCGCUGUCUCCUACUGUCAUACCUGGGACCCAAAAGAUUUUUUCUUAUAGGAAAUGAUUCAUGAUUCAGAUAUAAUCUUAGCAACCUUGCUGAACGGUAUGACCGUCAGAGGCUCAAAAGGUGUAUUAGACCGAAGGUUCUUAGAAUUAGCUCUGAUACUAUGUUAUUACAGAAGAAACUAUCCUCUUAUUGUACCUUGCCAAACUUCAGGUCUUCCAACACCGCCAUCCAUUGGUUGAAUCGACGGCAGCGGGGAUGAGAGCAUCUGGUACAUCACCGACGGCCCGCCAACAUAUUUUGAAGUUAUAGCUAUUACCCUCUUUAUCUAUUGAAUCCAAGGAGAAACUAGCAUCACAAGAGCUCUAAAAUUUAUGAUAAUAGAGGUGGUUGAUCAUAUUACCUAUUCUCAAAGUUUGGAUCAUAUACCAAUGUAAUCUCUCUACUUUUUUAAAUUUUUCUAUAUUUUUUUUCUAUAAUUUUGUAUGUGCAAGCAUCUAUCAUAACCAACAGGUUUCAAUACCUAAAAAUCUCUCGUGUCUCACGGAAAGAAUAAUUAGUUAUGAAAUAUUCUUACAAGUAUAAUAUUUCUUAUCUCUUAUGUGAGACAUAUGAGCUUCUCGCGCAUUAUAGAUAUAGCUGAAAUCCCUGUGAAUGUUUACAUAUCAUUUCUGUUACUUUUCUUAGGAGAGGAAUUGGUAACAGUCGGUUUAAAGAAACUGGCGUCCUGCGUUGUGACGGAGGGUUGGUUAGAUCGAGUCACAAUUAAAGCCAGUUAGUACUAUGUGUUUAUUCAUUUUAAGUAAAUUACUUCCUUUCUAACAGCUCGAGCUUUUCAGAAAUCAAGGAAAAGGUGUCACGCCUAAAAGUGGGGCAAGGACCGGACAUAAUGCUCUGGAGAUGGAGUCCAACUGGGCUAUUUAUAGUUAAAUCGGCCUACGUAGCACUGAGUGAUGGAGGUACGAGGGACACUCGUGCAAGCAAGAUUUGGAAACUUCGAAUACCGCUAAAGGUUAAAGUGUUAUGUUGGUUGGCACUCAGGAAGAGGCUCAUUACAGCUGACAACCUAAUGAAGAGAGGGUGGAUUGGAGAUACCGCCUGUGUACUGUGUGGGGCUAAUGAGAAACUAUGGACCACUUGUUCACACAGUGCGUAUUCUCCAAAUUCCUUUUAGUAAUGGGAGCGGGGGACGUUCAGGAUAGGGAUAUGGGAAAUGAUCUUAUUGUAGUCUGGGACAGAUGGAAGGGUGCAGUUGACGGCUGGACCUCCAUACACCGUCUAUCCUCUUUAGCAGCUUGCUGGUGGAUCAUUUGGAAGGACAGGAACGAUUUUAUCUUUAGACAGAUCCAACUAGAUCCUUUGCGUGCCGCCCAACGAGUAAAGCAGCUGGUGACGUUUUGGGAACAAGACAAGCAAUUCAACUAACAACUUCCCUUUUUUUUUUCUUUUUUUCUUUUUUUUUUGUCUUUUCGUAAGUCUUUCUCUCCGAGGCCCCGUUGCCUUACUCCUGUAGCCUAGUUUAUUUUUCUAAUGAAUGAAGCGGGGAGCAUGCUACCUUUUUCUCAAAAAAAAAAAAAAAAAAAAAAAAGCUCGAGCUUUCGAAAUUGUGGUUAGCGCUGACAAUCCAAUAGGUGGUAUUAGAGUCAGUGCACGAGUUCGAUUCCCACAUAGUGUAAAUUUGUGCAGGCCUUCCUUUUGAACAGUUUGAGUUUUUAGAAUUGUGGUUAAGGUUUGAAACUUAUAGUGGCUAAAGUGGUAUCGGAUCCAAAUUUUAAGAACUAAAAAUGAAAUUGAGUUUGAUACAACAUUAGAAAUAUGCACCUCUUCGCGAAGUGUGGCAUUCUCAACCCUUAGUUUGUGCUCUUCAAGGCUAAGAGCCCUUGGAUCUCCACAGCUAGGGCAAAAUGCACUACUCAAAGCCUCCUUCAAACUUGUGUUCUCUGCCUUAAGUGUCUCAUUCUCCUCUUUGAGCCUAUAAUUAUCUUGUUUCUCAUGAUGGUUCUGUGUUAUAAAACAAAACAAAAUAAAACAACAAAAAGAAUAAAAGCACACGAGAAAUGUUGUAAUUAAAAGCCAAGAAAUGCGAGAAGAAAUUUUAAUUCCUAAUCUUCUAGUCAUAUUUUAUUCUAGUCCUCCAACUUUUAACGCAUUUAUUCGUGCUUUUCAUUAGUCCUUCACGUCCUUUGCUUUUUAUAAGAAAAAUUAUUACUUGCACCAAGCGCAUUUGCACAUCCGUGCAUCACGAGUUUAUAGAUUACAAUCC
rnacentral:lncRNA from 1 species